GACGAACGCUGGCGGCGUGCUUAACACAUGCAAGUCGAACGAAGUGGCGAACGGGUGAGUAAUACGUGGGUAACCUGCCCUCCUUUUUGGGAUAAGCCUUGGAAACGGGGUCUAAUACCGAAUAAAGGGGGUUGGGCUCGCGGCCUAUCAGGUUGUUGGUGGGGUGAGGGCCUACCAAGGCGGUGACGGGUUGCCGGCCUGAGAGGGUGACCGGCCACAUUGGGACUGAGGUACGCGCCAGACGCCUACGAGGGGAAGCAGUGAGGGAUAUUGCACAAGGGGCGAAAGCGUCAAGCAGCGACACCGCAUGGGGGAUGGAGGCUUUCGGGUUGUAAACCUAUUUCGAAGUCGAAAGGUUAGGUGGAGAAGAAGCGCCGGCUAACUACGUGCCAGCAGCCGCGGUAAUUC
rnacentral:rRNA from 1 species